rnacentral:tRNA from 1 species
ACUUGGAAAUUGAGUCUAACGAGCAGCAGAUUUGUAAUCUGUUAGUCGCGGGUUCGAAUCCCGCUCCAUGCA